rnacentral:rRNA from 1 species
GACGAACGCUGGCGGCGUGCUUAACACAUGCAAGUCGAACGGAAAGGCCCUGCUUUUGUGGGCUUCUCGAGUGGCUAACGGGUGAGUAACAAGUGAGUAACCUGCCCUUUACUUUGGGAUAACUUCAGGAAACUGGGGCUAAUACCGGAUCGUAGCUCCUGCUGCAUGGUGGGGGUUGGAUAGUUUCGGCGGUUGGUGAUGGACUCGCGGCUUAUCAGCUUGUUGGUGGGGUAGUGGCUUACCAAGGCUUUGAAGGGCAGCCGUCCUGAGAGGGUGACCGGCGACAUGGGGACUGAGAUACGGAGCAGACUCGUACGGGAGGCAGUAGUGGGGAAUAUGACACAAUGGGCGGAAGCCUGAGGAAGAAACGCCGGGUGCGGGAUGAAGGCCUUCGGGUGGUGAACCGAUUAAGCCUGUGACGAAGCGUGAGUGACGGUAAUGGGUAAAGAAGCACCGGCUAACUACGUG